rfam:Ictidomys tridecemlineatus contig037640, whole genome shotgun sequence.
GCAGUGCUUUACUCAGAAGGUGUCAGUUAUGUACACUCUAUGUAACUCGUCACUGAUACCUUCCUGAGUAGAGUAAGGCC